GUCCUCAAAUGUCUUAAAUGGGUCAGUGUUUCCCAAAAAGCCAAAGAUGACAUCAUCAGAUGUCUUGUUCUGUCCCCGACUCAAAGACGUUCAGUUUCCUGUCCCAGAGGAGAGACAUGUUCACAUCUAAC